GGCAGGUGCCUGCACAGGCAAGGCCUGCAGACAAUGACUGGAGCCAGGAUGGACAAGAAAAAAUGGCACCCAGAGGUAAGUGUUAGCCAGGCUAGGGCCAGACAGGGCCUCAGGACGGGUAUCUGUUUACCUCCCACAGCCCCACCCUCCCAACACCUUAGAUCCCACAAACCACCAGAUUGGUCGGCAGAUGACCGCUCCUUGCUUAAUCUAUGAAUCCAAGAUCAUUGGGUAUCAAAAUCUCCAACCACCUGGCAGCCAUGUCCUGUCCCAUACCUGAGGCCC
rnacentral:lncRNA from 1 species